UACACUCCUGCGGGAGGCAGCAGUGGGGAAUAUUGGACAAUGGGCGCAAGCCUGAUCCAGCCAUGCCGCGUGAGUGAUGAAGGCCCUAGGGUUGUAAAGCUCUUUCACCGGUGAAGAUAAUGACGGUAACCGGAGAAGAAGCCCCGGCUAACUUCGUGCCAGCAGCCGCGGUAAUACGAAGGGGGCUAGCGUUGUUCGGAUUUACUGGGCGUAAAGCGCACGUAGGCGGACUAUUAAGUCAGGGGUGAAAUCCCGGGGCUCAACCCCGGAACUGCCUUUGAUACUGGUAGUCUUGAGUUCGGGAGAGGUGAGUGGAAUUCCGAGUGUAGAGGUGAAAUUCGUAGAUAUUCGGAGGAACACCAGUGGCGAAGGCGGCUCACUGGCUCGAUACUGACGCUGAGGUGCGAAAGCGUGGGGAGCAAACAGGAUUAGAUACCCUAGUAGUCCCAUG
rnacentral:rRNA from 1 species